AUUUGGUUUUACUCAUUUGAAAAUAUAUUGAGUUAGUUUUUUACUCAAACCAUCAGAGGCUUAAGAUGAAACCUUUGAUGUAAGGUGUAACUGGGUUCAGCAAGGUGGUGUUGUUGUGACAUAUCGAAUGUAUGAAUGAAAUUCAGCCACUAUUAUCAGACUCACUUGGAUAAGAAUGAUUUGAAAUACUGUAGCUGUGCAUGAUUGUGCUUGCCUGGCCUAAUGGAAUAGUUCCACAAGUGCAAGCCCUGCCCACCCCAACACUCCAGACUGGCUCAAUGGACUGCUCAAAGUAGGUGAUCCCAGGUCUGAUACGGUCAUAGGAGGAGUUGGAUUUCAGUGUCUGAACAUAGUGUCUGAAAUACAUAUUUACAAAAUGUAUUUUCAUAAUAUCCACAGUAAAAACGGUGCACACAAUAUAGUGGUGAACAAAGUCCUGUUAACCCAGCUGAGGGCCAAAUUCCAGGAGGCAUGGACCGACAAGGAACUGGAAGAGGCAACCAGUAAACGAUAGUGGACAGAGAGGGAGGCCUUCAGAAUCGGCCUAAUGGAGAACAGCUAGAGGACUAGGAGGAGAGAAAGGGUAAAAAGGUGUCGUCGCCGUCAAUGUCAGGCCCAUAUCAGGUGGUUGAGGUACCUCACUCCUGAGGAAAGGGAGCACUGGGAGGUUGGUCAGGACAACUUGUUGAGCCAUGUGGUGUCGGACCCUGACAACCACAAGGUCUGAUUGUCCUGAGCUUGGGGCUUCAUUGAAAAUAACUGAAGAAUAAUGCCCCA